rnacentral:rRNA from 1 species
CCAAUAGCGUAUAUUAAAGUUGUUGCAGUUAAAAAGCUCGUAGUUGAAUUUCGGGAUCAAUUGAUUGGUCAUGCCUUGGUAUGAACUGGUCAUAUUGGUUCUCACCUUCUAAUGAACCAUAAUGUCAUUCACUUGAUGUUAUGGGGAAUUAGGACUGUUACCUUGAAAAAAUUAGAGUGUUUAAAGCAGGCUUACGCUUGAAUACAUUAGCAUGGAAUAAUGAAAUAGGACAUCGCAUUCUAUUUUGUUGGUUUCUAGGAUCGAUGUAAUGAUUAAUAGGGAUAGUUGGGGGCAUUAGUAUUCAAUUGUCAGAGGUGAAAUUCUUGGAUUUAUUGAAGACUAACUACUGCGAAAGCAUUUGCCAAGGAUGUUUUCAUUAAUCAAGAACGAAAGUUAGGGGAUCGAAGACGGUCAGAUACCGUCGUAGUCUUAACCAUAAACUAUGCCGACUAGGGAUCGGAUGAUGUUAAUUUUUAAAUGACUCAUUCGGCACCUUACG